UACAGAGGGGGCAAGCGUUGUUCGGAAUUACUGGGCGUAAAGGGCGCGUAGGCGGCCUGCUAAGUCGAACGUGAAAUCCCCGAGCUCAACUCGGGAACUGCGUCCGAUACUGGCAGGCUUGAAUCCGGGAGAGGGAUGCGGAAUUCCAGGUGUAGCGGUGAAAUGCUUAGAUAUGACAUAGAACACCAAUUGCGAAGGCAGCUCACUAAGCAAAUAUUGACGCUGAGGCACGAAAGCGUGGGGAUCAAACAGG
rnacentral:rRNA from 1 species